AAAAUAACUCUGCUUUCUCAUCUCCACUCGUUACGUCAGCGCCACGCCGCAGCCGCCACCACUAUAUAAGCGGACCGAGAGGCAGGGCAGCCACCAGUCCCCGACGCACCUCAGCCCCAGACAUGGCCCUCAAGCUCGUCCUCCUGUCCGCCCUCGUGGCCGUCGCCCUUGCUGAGAGGGCUCCCUACAGGCCACCCCCACCCCCUCCCCCUCCCACCUACAGCGCCCCCGCCCCAUCCUACCGCCCCCCCGCGCCAUCCUACAGCGCACCCCAGCCAGUGAGUCCCCCCCAAGUAUGACUUCAGCUGGAACGUCAAGGACGACCUUUCCGGCAACGACUACGGCCACCAGGAGGGCCGCGACGGCUACGACACCCAGGGAUCCUACUACGUGCAGCUGCCUGACGGCCGUCUGCAGGAGGUCACCUACACCGUCAACGGCGAUUCAGGCUUCGUGGCCCAGGUCAACUACCAGGGCGAGGCACAGUACCCAACACAGCAGGGCUACGGCUCCGCCCCGUCCUACCAGGCCCCCGCCCCGUCCUACCAGGCCCCCGCCCCGUCCUACCAGCAGCCCCGCCCGUCCUACGGGUAAUGCUGCACCCUCGUGACGGCCAAGUCUUUCUGUCUUUGUAAAUACUCCCUUGUACCACUACGUGCCUGCUUCCCGCAAAGCAAUAAACGAAUGUGAUAAAAAAAA